rnacentral:ncRNA from 2 species
CGGGUUGUUCGACCCCGAGCCGCAGGCCCUACCGGGAAUCAACCCCACGGGUCGCGGCCGACAGGGUGGCGCGGGAAACGGCGCCGCCUUCCAGCGAGAAGGGGUUGCUUCGUACCGGUU